CUUUGGGCUCACAUCAUUGUGCCCAAUAUUAUCAUGUGCUGAUUGUUUUACCAGUCGACAGUAGCCCCCUGUCUUGAUGCCACUUUAUUGCUUUAUGUCCCCUGAUGCUCUCCGUACUGUUUUCCCCUGCAGGAGCUCAUCACAGCCUGGUAUAUUGGUUUCCUGUGCCUCAUCCUGGCUUCCUUCUUGGUUUAUUCUGUGGAAAAAGAGUCCAGUGAGGAGUUUGAGACGUAUGCUGAUGCUCUGUGGUGGGGACCGUGCCUAACAGACAGAGAGGCGCACAAACAAACCUUCACCCAGCCCACUGCUGCAGACGUUGCUUUACUUUUCAACUUGGGUAAGAGCCACAAAGACCAAAGGAAGAGGACUGAGGAUCAAACCCAGACGGAGCCCCAAAUUCUUCGGCCCCGAUGAAGACUUUUGAAAUCAAGACUUAAACUUCUGACAGUAUGAAUAAAGCCAAUCUAAUGAUUUUAGACAGAUCAUACUUCUCCAGUUAAGUUUAUAAAGGCUCUCUCUAAUUGGCAGACAAAUUGACCAAUCAUUUUCAAGAUUUAACAUUUAGCUUUCCUACUUGCUUUUAUUUUUUAUUUUUAUUCAGAUUUGUUCUGUGGAGAGAGAUUGAGUUUUCAUGUGAUCUUAGGUAGUUCUAGUUUUGAAAAUAGGAAAUUGUUCCCAUAAUAUAGUUCACACAAAGCCUCAUGCUGGGGAUAGAGGCCUAGUCAGUGAGUCUAGGUACCAGGGCUGGCCCAAGGCAUAAGCAAACUAAGCUGUCGCUUAGGGCCCCAGGGUUACUAAGGGGCCCCCUCAGUGAAGCUGAGUUUUAAUUAAUUUUUUUAAGUAAUCAUUUCUAUGCUAUUAUAGUAUCAGAAAACCACAAUUUAUUUCACUAUGAAGUGAUUUGGUUUUACAAUAAUACAUAUUUGAUAAUGUAUGUAGAAAUUAUUUUAUGGAUAAAAAG